AUUGAACGCUGGCGGCAGGCUUAACACAUGCAAGUCGAGCGGGGGAAGGUAGCUUGCUACCGGACCUAGCGGCGGACGGGUGAGUAAUGCUUAGGAAUCUGCCUAUUAGUGGGGGACAACAUCUCGAAAGGGAUGCUAAUACCGCAUACGUCCUACGGGAGAAAGCAGGGGAUCUUCGGACCUUGCGCUAAUAGAUGAGCCUAAGUCGGAUUAGCUAGUUGGUGGGGUAAAGGCCUACCAAGGCGACGAUCUGUAGCGGGUCUGAGAGGAUGUUCCGCCACACUGGGACUGAGACACGGCCCAGACUCCGACGGGAGGCAGCAGUGGGGAAUAUUGGACAAUGGGGGGAACCCUGAUCCAGCCAUGCCGCGUGUGUGAAGAAGGCCUUAUGGUUGUAAAGCACUUUAAGCGAGGAGGAGGCUACUUUAGUUAAUACCUAGAGAUAGUGGACGUUACUCGCAGAAUAAGCACCGGCUAACUCUGUGCCAGCCGCCGCCGUAA
rnacentral:rRNA from 1 species